rnacentral:lncRNA from 1 species
CACCACUGUCCAGCACGACUUAAAAAAAGGCUCUGGGGGCCUUCAAAAGAGACAGAAAAAAGUCAUUUCAGAAAUGUUUAUAACCCAUCUUCGAAAAAACAGAGGGGUCCCAAACAACAAAUAACGUUCCGGACAAACCCAAGAAGAAUAAAAACAUACAGUCAAAAGGGUUAAAGCCCCAAAAAGAUCUAAUUAGAGACACAUCAGGAGUUGUCAACUUGGUCUCUGUAAGGAGUAAAAGAUGGGGCUUAAACACAGAAACCACCUGCCUAAGAAAUCUCCUCCUCCUCCUAUCCCCGAAGCCCCUGAUAUUCCAUUAUAUGGGCCUCGUUUAGAAUGGAAGUCAGUCUCCUUCCAGGUGAUACCUGAUGGACCUGCAGAAAGGGGGUCAAAGGGGAGCUCGACUGUCAUCAUCUCCAUCUAAGCAGCGAAUUUUUCAUCUUCUCUUUCUCGGGAUGCCUACAGCUUGGCCUUCUUGAUCUUUUAUAGCCUCCACUACCUUGAUAGAACCUUCGAAGACACCUUCAUAGCCUUGAUCAUUCCCCAACAUGGUCAUAUUGAAAAAGGUUCUAAUAACUUAUGUUGGAAGGGUUUGUCUCCUGUCUUGUUCUCCUAACUAAGAACCUUUUUCCCCAUCUCUACACCUCUGCCUGUUUUCCCCCUGCUCCAAUUUGAGGACCUUGGAGAAAGCUCAUCAGAUGUGGAACCUGACGUUUAAGUAACCAGGAUAGGGUGAAUAUUAGGGCAUCUGGCCACAAUGAGAGAUUUUGGAAUAUGAUUAGGUUGCGCAGCCAUCUUGGGUGGGACAAUGGAAAUAUUGCCCCAUGCCAAAUCUCUUUGCAGCAGUGAAUAGGACAGCUUCACAGCCCCACCGAUAGAAGCAAGGCUAGUAGGAUCGUUGAUAAUGAGGGACACUCCAGAAGGUUCAACAAAUAGUGAUGCGCAUAGAGGGCACGACAGAAAUUGGAUUCUUACCAGAACAGGAAUUGGCCUUAAUAGCAAGGAAAAGGAAGAAACUUUGACAGAAGGAAUGGGCUUCAAAAGGAUGACGGAUCCUCCAAACCCCCACUUCUAUAUAAAGAAGGUUCGCAUAUGCCCGCGUAAUAAAUGAAAUUAAAGGCAAAGGGUUGGAUGGAAGAGAUGUAACCUGGAAACAACCAUCCUAGAUGGAUGGGAUGUGGAAGGAUUUGACCUGGUUUGCCACUUUGUAAGAAAUGAUAAUCUUCACGCCAUCAGAUGUGUCACAUGCCACCUCAUCCUACCUAUUGCAAAAUUAGAGAGAGGGCAUCGUUACCGUGUGACCCUUCCUGUCUUCCUGAAGGUGUGUAUGUAGGUUGCACCUUCUCAGUACAAGAAAACUGAAUGCACCCACCUUUCUCCUCUUUCAUCUCCACAUCACCAUUAUUUAACGUCAAAACAGUAGGAUUUGUACUAAAUGAUAGUCUCCAUUGGAUCAUUGGGAGAUUUAGGCGAGCUUUUGAAAUUUAAAUUUAAACAAGAACCAGAGCUAGAAGUCUGGUUACUAUUGGGGGUUUUGAAGAGGAGGAACCAUUGUUCCUUCUUUCUCCAAACCAUCAUAUUAGGCUACAUUUUUCGUUUGUUAGAAUAGGAAUGGCUGUACCAGCAAGGAGACCCAUUCUCUCUCUUUCUGGAAAUCUCAAUCCAUGGUUGGUGGUUUGGAGUUGUAAGCUCAGCCACCUCCUUCCGCGAGUUGUAGCUAUGAAAACUACCAAAAGAAGGUACAAAGGAAGCCAAACUGCCCCUGUUAAAUACACUAACCUCUUUUGUAAUAUGCACCUUGAAAUAAUCUCCACCUACCUUAGGAACAAGUGAAUCACGAAUGACAUUAUCUGAUGCAUAACUUUAAUGCGCAAAGUGCCCUAGGCAUGUCCAAAGGAAGCGUGCCAAUCAACCUCUAAUAACCUUCCACAAUCACCUGCUAGAACCUUAAAUACUUUCUUUGUCCAUGCAUUGAUGGGGAUGCCUUCAAUCCUAGUUAGUAUUUGAGGCAACUGAAUAUACGAAUGAGAAGCUUUAGGGGUAUCACUCUAGAGACAUUAAAUACCCAUUGAGCCUCAAGAAUCUAUGCUUGAAGAUUCAUUAAGCAUCUUCAGCCUCAAUAAAAAUAAGCAAAGCUCUAUUAUUAGGAAUAGUCAUGCA